AGCAAUGAGCUGCUACCUUAAUGGCAGAGCUGCAGGGGUGGGCCAGAGCCAGGACAGGUGGCCUGAAUUCAGCAGUUAGGCCUGGUUAUUUCAUGUCACAUGACAUCACGUGGGAUGGCUGUAAGUCUGUGGGUAGCUGGUUAGGGGCUGGCUGGUGCUUGGCUGGGUGUUGGUCAGGAGAUGGUUCUGUCUCACAACUGCUGCUGCUUGACUGAUGAAUGGAGGGACACAGUAGAAACAAACACAGCGUUAAGUCUGUAAAAGCACCUCUGCUGAUUGCUGUGAACCUCCCUUAGCACUCUUCAGUGCAUCCCACCAGGACCAAUGGCUUAUGUACAUCCGGCUUUUGAAGCAUUCCUGAACUUUGAUCCUGGUGCCAGAAGUCACAAAGCUUCCAUCUUUUGCCAUCGUGGGACUUUCCCUGUCUGUCUCUCUCCCUGUACAAGUGAGGAUUGAGGAUGUUAUACCUGCAGGAUCUCAGAGAAGAUCUGGCCAAUCUCUUUUUCCUCUCCUCUGACACUGUACAUGCAUUUUGCCGUCUUCCUCCAGCAGCUCCUCGACUUUGCAAACUCACCACCAGCACUGCCUCCUGCUGCUGAGGACACCCUCUCUCUUCCUCAGCUUUCACAGGAGGCCCCAGGCAUUCCCAGAUGUUUAGACCUGCAUCCUCUGAGCUGAGGCCUCAAAUAUGCUGGCAUCAAGCAGGUGCUGGGAACCAUGCCUUGUAGUAUACCACCACUGCAUCGAAGAAUGUUUGAAUAAAAGCGUAAGCAUCCUUUGGUCAGGAGUAGCUGAUAGGGCUUUCUUGAAGUGACAGGACAGCACCCUGUAGCUGUCCUUUCCUGGCAGCAGAAGAAACCCCUACUUUCUUUAAAGGAUUCACUGGAAUCCCUUAAUGAUUCAUGAAGAUGUUUUGAGAAGAUCUACAAGAUCUAGGAAAAGCCUGGAAACUGCUGCACAAAGUGCUGUGUCUGGUAGCUGCUCUCAAGGUCAUGAGAUGUACUCCUGGGAUGCUGGGGUAAGAAUAGCAUGGGAAAACACACUGACAGCUAGGGGAAAGUAGGAAGGGUGAAGCACAGGAGUUCUCUGCUUCUCGAAGAACAAUGUCUGGGCUGAUCCCUAAAGGGAAGAGGGGUUGUGUUUAUUGCCUUCACUAAUUAGUGACACUGGGAGCUAGCAAGCAGCUACUAUAGGAUGAAGCUUUGAUCUGGACAAAUGUUUCCUUUAGGUUUGGGAAGGUGAGACUCCUUUUUGGUACCCUGAAAAGGAGGAGCAACAGAUGGUGGUCCUGACUUCAUGAAGGAUGGUAAACUGAUCAGUAAUUUAGGACCUUGAGAGCUGUAGUUGGAUUGUGUUUGGGCAGCUGAAUCAAAGAAGAGUUCCUCAGUACUUCUGUGAGACUGUUCAAGUGCUGGAAAAACCACUGGUGAUGUGAUCUGAGCAGCUUCGUGUCUACGUUUCACAUAGGUUAAUCGAAGUCCGUAAACUUCACAUUUGCAUACAAAAAAUUGACCUGGUUUGUGCUCUCAAAAUACCAGUAAACUGAUCUCCGUAUGCUGCAGAGUUUAUCACUUCAGGAACUUACCCUUCAGGGACUCUUAUGUAUCUUUAAGAUAUACAAUUUCCCCUGUAUUUAUUGUGAAACAGUGAACUGAAUAUUUGCUUAAUUUUUAUUUUAAAAUCCUUUGGCUUUCUUGACAUUUCUAGCAGGUGAUUUCUAACUUAUUUUUGUCUCCUCUCUCAUUCAUUCAUAUAAGCACACGCUUUCUACACAUCCUGUUGUGCAGCAUGCACAGAACUGUAAUUAUCAUAUGAAUACCUCAGUUUAUGAAUAGCAUACAUUAUUUAACAUCGAAAUCGUGCCCCACAGUUCUUCUGUGCAUGCAACACAAAAAGAGAUAUUGACUUUGAAGGUUUCAGUAAAAAUGGAAUGUAGAUACCAUUUGUUUAUUUUAAAAUGUCUUUCCAGUAUAGACUAAGUAGUUCCAAAUAUUAAUAAAGGAUAUUUACCUAGAAAAAUUACAAUGUAAGAACUCUAUUGCCUGAAGGACAGUAUUUAAUUAGUAACAAUAGUCCAUAAUGGUUUCAGAAAACGUCUGCUGUCUUCUCUGAGUAUGUAUGGAGCACAAUUGCACUGCCAUUGGUCAAAUUAGGUCUCUUUCUUUGAGGCUUUGUAAAUAUCUAGAUGUUGUCUUUUUCACUGUGCAGCUGACUGAUUUUGAGUGUUUUAUUCCUUCUUUGCAUACCUCUGGUAAAGGCAUAGAUUGAUCCCUGUGAUCCUCUAUAGUACAUUCUGCACUCUGUAUGCCAGCUCUGUUGAAAAGAGUGAAAGCUACACAUCUGUAUCUUUAAAGACAGUAUAAUCCCUAGGCACUGUUUUAAAAUCAAGCAGUAAACAUUCAUCCCAGUUGGAAGCAGAAUGCAUUUAAACUUGUUAAAAAGACUGUUUGCAGAAGUUGGCGGAAUAAGUAUGUAGUAUUUAUUUUAAUUAUUUAUUCUUUCAUUCAUUUCUGAAGCGCUAAUCAACCCUUCCCCUCUCCACAACCACACUCUAAAAAGAGCUCCUGAAAAACAUAAAUUGUUUAGUACAAAGUACUACUGACAAAAGUGGAUCAAUAUUUUUUUUCCUGUUGUUGAGAUUCUAUGAAGAUAAUUCUUUAGUAUCUUACAUAAUGCUGUGACUGUUGCCAGCAUUGAAAACGGUCACAGGUGAGCCUCUAACUUCUUGAUUUCAAAGGACCUUUGCAGAGGUUCCCUUUUUGUGUGAGUACACCUGGCCUAACAAGAUCUGCAAGUGUAAAUUCUGACAACUGUACGUGCAGGUGAUAGCGUUCAAAACAUAUGUGUACAGCUGUUUUUGGGCACACAGACAAAGACUUUCUGGUCUCAAACCUUCAACACUUCAUGCCUUUUAAGAGGAGUACAUAAAUCCCAUGAAAUUGAAGGCCAAAAAGUCAGUCAGAAUGGAAGGCUUAACUUGGGA